GUCUGUGUGUGUAUGGACUCAGCAGUCUGUGUGUGUAUGGACUCAGCAAUCUGUGUGUGUGUGGACUCAGCAGAGUGCGUGUGUUUGUGUACUCAGCAGUCUUUGUGUGUUUGUGUACUCAGCAGUCUUUGUGUGUGUGUGGACUCAGCAGUCUUUGUGUGUGUGUGGACUCAGCAGUCUUUGUGUGUGUGUGUGGACUCAGCAGUCUGUGUGUGUGUAUGGACUCAGCAGUCUGUGUGUGUGUAUGGACUCAGCAGAGUCUGUGUG